AUACCAUAAAAGCAAUCAAUUUCAAAAGAAGUCUUAUUCGUCUGGCAGAACUCAUAUAUAUGAACAUGCAACCCCCCCAAAAAAAAUUAUCGUGUCUAGUUAUGGCACUGCAAGGAGUAAUGGAAAAGUGAAGGGGUAGUUCAUGGCCACUAAAUGUUUUAAGAUGACCUAAUGAAGGUAGUAUAUUAAAAACCAAACCUAACAAGAAUGAGCUGAAACAAUAUGACUUGUCCACUCACAUCAGGCACAUGAAAACUUACAUGUAUUUUUUUAUUUAUUUAGCUUUGUCAACUAGGGUAGGGUCACCACAACAGCAUAUGCCAAUUACUGUGGGCCCUUUUUACCUAACGCACCCUGUCAACUUUCCCUGUGGGAGGAAACCGGAGUACCCGGGGAAACCCACGACUUUCAGCAGAGCGUUGACUUUUGCUCUUUUCACAUAUAUGAGGACUCGGUUCGAGUCGCAUUGAAAAGUUUCUCACUGAGGCUUGAACCUGCGGCCUCAGAGGUGAAAGGCAAGUGCGCUUAUGAACUAGACCAGAGUCUAUGAUCAGGACUAGAGUCUAUUGGUCUACCUGAACUAGACCAGAGUCUAUCGGUCUUAAGCAAAUCAUAUUAAAUACUGCCAACCAAAUUAAUGUUACAACAACCAUUUUAAAUUUCCUUGCAAUUGUAAACCUUCAAUAGUCCCUUAAUUCUUUCUCAAUUUUCUGAUUUUAAAUGUCUUGUAUAUUCCAGUAACACUCUAUAAUCCACAUAACCUUAAAGUUAAUGCACCACUGACAAUCAAAGCACAUUCUGUAAGCAUAAUCUGUGUCAAUAUAGUGAUUCCAAAAAUAAUUGACCCAAUAUUGAGUUCUACAGUAUGUGAGUAUCACUGUUUGAACUCUGAAGAUGCAGAAGAUCUUUCAAC
rnacentral:lncRNA from 1 species